GCUUAGAGUGUCAGUUCCGGGUUCGUCACGUGACGGCCGCGGCACGUAAACAUGAACGAGACGCGGCUGUUUAUAAACAUCUCGUCUUAGGGCACCGCCGGCAUCAUUUCUUCUGGAGACAAAAGGCCAGGAUGGAAGUUGAACACGCUCGUCCAUAUUUUUUUGGAGACAUCGGCUUCUGGUCGGAGAGAACGGAGGUGCACAAGGCGGCGUCUCUCGGCCACACUUCUCAGCUGGAGCACCUCAUCCGGAGCGGAGCGUCGGUCAACAUCGUGGCGGUGGACUCCAUCACGCCGCUGCACGAGGCCUGCCUCCGGGGACAGGCGCAGUGUGUCCGCCUGCUGCUGGACGCCGGAGCCCAGGUGGAUGCAAGGAACGUAGACGGGAGCACCCCGCUGUGCGAUGCCUGUUCGGCCGGCAGUCUGGAGUGUGUGCAGCUCUUGCUGGAUCACGGCGCCAUGGCCGACCCUGCCCUCACCUCCCGCACGGCCUCGCCCCUCCACGAGGCCUGCUUGGGAGGAAACUCUGACUGUGUGAGGCUGCUGAUUGCCACGGGGGCUUCUCUGGAGGCGUACAACCUUUACUACGGGACCCCGCUACAUGUGGCUUGUGCCAACAAACACACAGACUGUGUGAAAGAACUGCUCAACGCAGGCGCUAUGGUGAAUGCCGCCAGGCUACACGAGACUCCACUGCACCACGCUGCUAAGACCAUGCAGGUUGACAUGGUGGAGACGCUGGUGGAGUUCGGGGCCAACGUCUAUGCCAGGGAUCAGCACAACAAGAGACCUGUGGACUACACCACGCCAGGCUCUCCCUCUGCCACCUGCUUGACCUUUUAUGAGAACAACCCCAUGAGUCUGCAGCAGCUCAGCAGGUUGGCACUGAGGACCAAGCUGGGCACCAGAGCUCUGAAGGUCAUAGGUCAACUGAACAUACCAAAGCUCAUCAUGGAGUAUCUCUGCUAUUAGUGAGUGUCCCAGGGUUGCGAGGGAGGCCGGAGUCAAUCCCAGUUUACGUCAGGCGAGAGACAGGGUUGACACAGAGACAAACGAUCUGUCACCCUUACACCUGCAGGCAGUUUAGAGCCACCAAUCGACCUAAUCCCCAGAGCACGUCUCUGGACUUUGGGAGGAGGCCGGAGAGAACGUGCAGACUCCACACAGAAAGGCCACUGGGCGGAGUCAAAUCCAAGAGAUUUCUGCUGUGAGGAUGGGCUCCUCCCACCGCCUCGUUAGGGCAUCCCUAUUAAGACAGCACUUUGAAGAAGGACUACCCUCCGUGAUCCCAUCGAUGAGACACAGCAGCUGUCGAGUUGAGCUAAAACCACGUGGAAAGAAAUAAAGAAGGAAAGAUGACAGCCUCAGUGAGUUUUCUUUCAGUUUAGGACAUGUGGAUUAAGAUUUUCAGUCAAAAGAUCAAAUAAAAAUGUUAUUUCAGAAUCUGAUUUAACAUUUAUUUCUGCCAUCAAGUUCUCAUGCUCCCAUUUUUACUAUUAAUAUGGAUACGUCAGUUUCUAAACUUUUUCUGUCAUGACAGUGUGUACUGUACUUUUGUAGUCUGUGAAGUUCUCAGUAUAUUUCAUUAAAUAAAAAUAGAAAUCUGAAUUCCCCCUGUGAGUCACUUGUAAUACUACUGUAACUCACGUAAGCAGACGUCACAGCACCAAGUGCUGACUGGAAGAGACUUUUUUUGAAUAAGAACUGGAAAAAAAAUACUGAUUCAGACGAUGCACCCAUCUAUUGUAUAAUUUCUUCAUUGGACUCUGUAAAUUAAAGACUCAUUGCUGCACUCAA